UUACGGCCACAUCACGUGGAAACACCGGUUUCCAUACGAUCACAGAAGUUUAGCAACGUCAAGCCUGGACAGUACCUUGAUGGGUAACCACUUAAGAAUAUCAGGUGCUAUA